GAUGAAGAACGCAGCGAAAUGCGAUAAGUAAUGCGAAUUGCAGAAUUUCCGUGAGUCAUCGAAUCUUUGAACGCACAUUGCGCCCACUGGUAUUCCGGUGGGCAUGCCUGUUCGAGCGUCAUUAUCCUCCCUCAAACCCCGGGUUUGGUGUUGGACCCAAGUUGUGUGAACAACUGGUCUCAAAGACAAUGACGGCGUCCGUGGGACCCUCGGUGCAACGAGCUUUUAGGAGCACGCAUCGAGUUGCAAGGACCUUCCGGGCCGGUCUCCUUUACCAUUUUACAAGGUUGACCUCGGAUCAGGUAGGAAUACCCGCUGAACUUAAGCAUAUCAAUAAGCGGAGG
rnacentral:misc_RNA from 1 species